rnacentral:rRNA from 1 species
UCCCCAAGAGUCCAUAUCGACGGGAUGGUUUGGCACCUCGAUGUCGGCUCGUCGCAUCCUGGGGCUGGAGUAGGUCCCAAGGGUUGGGCUGUUCGCCCAUUAAAGCGGCACGCGAGCUGGGUUUAGAACGUCGUGAGACAGUUCGGUCUCUAUCCGCCGCGCGCGUAAGAAACUUGAGGAAACCUGUCCCUAGUACGAGAGGACCGGGACGGACGAACCUCUGGUGUGCCAGUUGUUCCACCAGGAGCACCGCUGGUUAGCUACGUUCGGAAGGGAUAACCGCUGAAAGCAUCUAAGCGGGAAGCCUGUUCCAAGAUGAGGUUUCUCACCACCUAGCGUGGGUAAGGCCCCCCACAGACCAUGGGGUUGAUAGGCCAGAACUGUAAGCACAGCAAUGUGUUCAGGUGACUGGUACUAAUCGGCCGAGGACUUACAACAACA